rnacentral:rRNA from 1 species
AGAGCGGCGCACGGGUGCGUAACGCGUAUGCAACCUACCUCAUACAGGGGGAUAGCCCGGAGAAAUCUGGAUUAAUACCCCAUGGUACUGCGAAGAGGCAUUUCUUUGUAGUUAAAGAUUCAUCGGUAUGAGAUGGGCAUGCGUCUGAUUAGCUAGUUGGCGGUGUAACGGACCACCAAGGCGACGAUCAGUAGGGGUUCUGAGAGGAAGGUCCCCCACACUGGCACUGAGAUACGGGCCAGACUCCUACGGGAGGCAGCAGUAGGGAAUAUUGGGCAAUGGACGAGAGUCUGACCCAGCCAUGCCGCGUGCAGGAAGACGGCGUUCUGCGUUGUAAACUGCUUUUAUCUGGGAAGAAAAGGCCCAUGCGUGGGACAUUGCCGGUACCAGAUGAAUAAGCACCGGCUAACUCCGUGCCAGCAGCCGCGGUAAUACGGAGGGUGCAAGCGUUGUCCGGAUUUAUUGGGUUUAAAGGGUGCGUAGGCGGCUAUUUAAGUCAGCGGUGAAAGACAUCGGCUCAACCGAUGCAGUGCCAUUGAUACUGGAUAGCUUGAGUGUUGGAGGGGUACAUGGAAUUGAUGGUGUAGCGGUGAAAUGCAUAGAUACCAUCAGAACACCGAUAGCGUACGCAUUGUACUGGCCAACAACUGACGCUGAGGCACGAAAGCAUGGGGAGCGAACAGGAUUAGAUACCCUGGUAGUCCAUGCCGUAACGAUGAUUACUCGCUGUAUGCUGUAUAGUGUAGCGGCCAAGCGAAAGCGUUA